UAAGUACUCCCUCCGUCCCAAAAUUCUUGUCUUAGAUUUGUCUAGAUACAGAUGUAUCAAGUCACAUUUUAGUAUUAGAUACAUCCGUAUCUAGACAAAUCUAAGACAAGAAAUUUGGGACAAAGGGAGUAGUUG
rnacentral:pre_miRNA from 1 species